UUUUUGAUUAUAAUUUAAAGUCUAAUCUGCCCACUGAUAAAAUUAUUAAAGGGCUGCAGUAUUUUGACUGUACAAAGGUAGCAUAAUCAUUUGUCUCUUAAUUGGUGACUUGUAUGAAAGAUUGGAUGAAAAAUAAACUGUCUCAUUAUAAUAAAUAAAAUUUAAUUUUUUAGUAAAAAAGCUAAGAUAUUUUUAAAAGACGAGAAGACCCUAUAGAGUUUGAUAAUUAAUUAAAUUUAAAUUUAGUAUAAAAAUUAAAAUUUGAAUUUAUUUAAUUAUUUUGUUGGGGUGAUAGAAAAAUUAAAUUAACUUUUUUUUAAUAUAUACAUGAAUAAGUGAGUAAAUGAUCCAUUAAUAAUGAUUAGAAGAAAAAAUUACCUUAGGGAUAACAGCGUAAUUUUUUUUCUUAGGUCAAAUAAGAAAAAGAGUUUGCGACCUCGAUGUUGGAUUAAGAUAAAAUUUUGAUGUAAAAGUUUAAAUUUUUGAUCUGUUCGAUCAUUAAAA
rnacentral:rRNA from 1 species